rnacentral:rRNA from 1 species
AGCUCUACCUUAGUUUUUUUGUUAACUGAACAAGACCUCAGACUUAAGAGCUAUUCAAAUAAGGCACAGCUUAUUUGAAACAGGACACAACCUACAACAUAGGGUAACCAAGAGUGACUUAAAUAAAGUGGGCCUAAAAGCAGCCAUCUUUAAAAAAGCGUUAAAGCUUAACUACCCCUCACUCACAAUACCUAAAGCCCUCACUAACCCCUCAUCACUAUUGAACAGCUUUAUACUCAUAUAAAAGCUAUCAUGCUAGAACUAGUAACAAGAAACUGCCUUUCUCCUAAAUGUAAGUAUACACCAAAAUAAACUCUGUUGGUUAUUAACGUAAAUGCUAAACUAUAGUAACACCCACUAGAAAACCCUAUAACUCCUAACGUUAACCUUACACCAGAACAUUCCAGGAAAGAUUAAAAGAAAAAGAAGGAACUCGGCAAAUCAUAGCCUCGCCUGUUUACCAAAAACAUCGCCUCUUGCAAAACAUAAGAGGUCCAGCCUGCCCAGUGACAAAGUUCAACGGCCGCGGUACCCUAACCGUGCGAAGGUAGCAUAAUCACUUGUUCUUUAAAUGAGGACUCGUAUCAACGGCACUACGAGGGCUAUACUGUCUCCUUUUUCCAAUCAGUGAAACUGAUCUCCCCGUGAAGAAGCGGGGAUCAAAAUAUAAGACGAGAAGACCCCAUGGAGCUUUAAACUCUCUGUACACUUCUGUGUUCCUACAUCAUUAGACAUAAGAAAUCUGCACACUAGUUUUAGGUUGGGGGGACCACGGAGUACAAUUUAACCUCCAUAACAAAUGGGCUAAUUACCCUUAUCCACGAGACACACCUCUAAGAAUUAUCAAACUAAUGCUUAUGACCCGAUAUUCGAUCAAUGAACCAAGUUACCCUGGGGAUAACAGCGCAAUCUACUUCAAGAGCCCAUAUCGACAAGUAGGUUUACGACCUCGAUGUUGGAUCAGGUAUCCCGGUGGUGCAGCCGCUACCAAUGGUCGGUUUGUUCAACGAUUAAAACCCUACGUGAUCUG